CACGUAGGGCGCAAGCGUUGUCCGGAAUUAUUGGGCGUAAAGAGCUCGUAGGCUGUCUGUUACGUCUGCUGUGAAAACCCAGGGCUUAACCCUGGGCUUGCAGUGGAUACGGGCAGACUAGAGGCAGGUAGGGGAGAAUGGAAUUCCCGGUGUAGCGGUGAAAUGCGCAGAUAUCGGGAGGAACACCGGUGGCGAAGGCGGUUCUCUGGGCCUGACCUGACGCUGAGGAGCGAAAGCGUGGGGAGCGAACAGG
rnacentral:rRNA from 1 species